rnacentral:rRNA from 1 species
CAAUAGCGUAUAUUAAAGUUGUUGCAGUUAAAAAGCUCGUAGUUGGAUUUCUGGUAGGAGCGACCGUGCCGAACUUGAUUGUUCGAGUAUUGUGUUGUCUUCAGCCAUCCUCGUGGAGAACUUUUCUAACAUUAACUUGUUGGGAUUGGGACCCGCGUCGUUUACUGUGAAAAAAUUAGAGUGUUUAAAGCAGGCAUUAGCUUGAAUACAUUAGCAUGGAAUAAUAAGAUAGGACUUUGGUACUAUUUUGUUGGUUUGCAUACCAAAUUAAUGAUCAACAGGAACAGUUUGAGGAUAUUCGUAUGAACAUGUCAGAGGUGAAAUUCUUGGAUUUUGAUCAGACGAACUACUGCGAAAGCACUUAUCAAGGAUGUUUUCAUUAA